rnacentral:rRNA from 1 species
GGGUAACAGGGAGUGCUUGCACUCUGCUGACGACCGGCGCACGGGUGCGUAACGCGUAUGCAACCUACCUUCUACAGGGGGAUAGUCCAGAGAAAUUUGGCAUAAUACCCCAUACGAUCAUUUAUUGGCAUCGAUAGAUGAGGAAAACUCCGGUGGUAGAAGAUGGGCAUGCGUCCUAUUAGUUAGUUGGUAAGGUAACGGCUUACCAAGACAUCGAUAGGUAGGGGUCCUGAGAGGGAGAUCCCCCACACUGGUACUGAGACACGGACCAGACUCCUACGGGAGGCAGCAGUGAGGAAUAUUGGACAAUGGAGGCAACUCUGAUCCAGCCAUGCCGCGUGCAGGAAGACGGCCCUACGGGUUGUAAACUGCUUUUAUACAGGAAGAAACGCCGCUACGUGUAGCGGUUUGACGGUACUGUACGAAUAAGGAUCGGCUAACUCCGUGCCAGCAGCCGCGGUAAUACGGAGGAUCCAAGCGUUAUCCGGAAUCAUUGGGUUUAAAGGGUCCGUAGGCGGUUUUUUAAGUCAGAGGUGAAAUCCUGCAGCUCAACUGUAGCAUUGCCUUUGAUACUGAAAGACUUGAGUUAUUGUGAAGUAGUUAGAAUGUGUAGUGUAGCGGUGAAAUGCAUAGAUAUUACACAGAAUACCGAUUGCGAAGGCAGAUUACUAACAAUAUACUGACGCUGAGGGACGAAAGCGUGGGUAGCGAACAGGAUUAGAUACCCUGGUAGUCCACGCCGUAAACGAUGGAUACUAGCUGUUCGACCAACAUUGGUUGGUUGAGUGGCUAAGCGAAAGUGAUAAGUAUCCCACCUGGGGAGUACGCUCGCAAGAGUGAAACUCAAAGGAAUUGACGGGGGCCCGCACAAGCGGUGGAGCAUGUGGUUUAAUUCGAUGAUACGCGAGGAACCUUACCAGGGCUUAAAUGUAAGUUGCAUAGAUCAGAGAUGGUCUUUUCUUCGGACUACUUACAAGGUGCUGCAUGGUUGUCGUCAGCUCGUGCCGUGAGGUGUCAGGUUAAGUCCUAUAACGAGCGCAACCCCUGUCGUUAGUUGCCAGCAAGUUAAGUUGGGCACUCUAGCGAGACUGCCGGUGCAAACCGCGAGGA